rnacentral:rRNA from 1 species
UACGUAGGGUGCAAGCGUUGUCCGGAAUUAUUGGGCGUAAAGAGCUCGUAGGCGGCUUGUUGCGUCGACUGUGAAACCCCGAGGCUCAACCUCGGGUCUGCAGUCGAUACGAGCAAACUAGAGUGUUGCAGGGGGGACUGGAAUUCCUGGUGUAGCGGUGGAAUGCGCAGAUAUCAGGAGGAACACCGGUGGCGAAGGCGGUUCUCUGGGCCUGACCUGACGCUGAGGAGCGAAAGCGUGGGGAGCGAACAGG